rnacentral:rRNA from 1 species
UGCCAGCAGCCGCGGUAAUACGUAGGAAGCAAGCGUUAUCCGGAUUUACUGGGCGUAAAGUGGACGUAGGCGGUCUUUCAAGUCGGAUGUGAAAUCUCCUGGCUUAACUGGGAGGGGUCAUCCGAUACUGUUGGACUAGAGGACAUCAGGGGAAGGUGGAAUUCCCGGUGUAGUGGUGAAAUGCGUAGAUAUCGGGAGGAACACCAGUGGCGAAGGCGGCCUUCCAGGAUGUUUCUGACGCUGAGGUCCGAAAGUGUGGGGAGCGAACAGGAUUAGAUACCCUGGUAGUCCACACCGUAAACUAUGGAUACUAGGUAUAGGGAGUUUCGACCCUCUCUGUGCCGAAGCCAACGCUUUAAGUAUCCCGCCUGGGGACUACGGCCGCAAGGUUAAAACUCAAAGGAAUUGACGGGGGCCCGCACAAGG